AUGACGUACCCUUUGGGUCAAAAGUACAGAUACGCCAACAGCUUAAAAUAGAUAUCACAGCGGUGACAAAAUUGUUACCGCGGUGACAUUUUUGUCACUGCGGUAAUAAAUUUAUCACUGCGGUGAUAUAUUUGUAACUGUUGUGAUACUUUGUUUGACCCAAACAGUUUGAUAAGAGCUAAAUCGAACUAACCAAUGAAACAACGUCUUGCAAAACGGCAAAUCGGCGAAUAUUUACUGCGAAGUUUUCAAGAUGUCUGCCUCCAUGGAUACUGUAAACAACUUUUCAGAUCAUGAGUUUGGUAAUUUUAAUCUUCGGACACAAGGAUGACGACAAUUAAGAGUCCAUCAAUGGUUGUGAAAUCAAGGAUAUUCUAUUGGAAGGAAAGACAUGAAUGCAUUCAAGUUUCCUGUGAGCAAUAUGAUUUCCUGACUUUGCCUUACAGUAUAAAACAAGAGAGUUAAACACUUGAAACUUGAAAAGAUGUGGUCCUAGAACCUGAAAUGGCAACUCCAGCUCUCUACAAAAGCAUCAUCUGGAAUCCAACUAUGUACAAUCAAAAAAUUAAUGUGUGUCUUAAUUUUGUCUUUUUAGAGCCCUGACGGGUCUUAAGAUAUCAGAUGUUUUAAAAUUCAUUGUGUUUGUGCUGCAAGUUUUAUGAACUGGUUAUAAAGCUUAUGUAUGAAGAACCGUUUACUGCCUGGUUAGCUGCAGUAGAGCACUCAUAGGAAUUGGGAGAUCUGUGGAAUCCCUUUGUGGCUUGCAAAUUUCAACCUGUUUUCAAAAAUUGCUUAGUUGGUCAGUGUGUUAAUAUUUCAAUUUUCAGGUCUGGUAAAGAAAGUUAUUUAAAGGCAAUGUGCAAGGUUUUCCUUAAUAAUAGCAUGUACACAGGAAAAAAAAGCUUAAUAUUAGAUAUUUUGUUAUAAUCAGUUUGUGGUCCGUCCAUAGCUAAACAUGAACAUAGAUAUUUUUUACUUUUAUUAGUACUAUAUACAUAUUAUAAAUAAAAGGUUGUAUCUUG